UUUUUUUUUUGCAACCUAACACCAAAUAGUACCUUAGCAAUUCAACAUACUUUAUAUAGUAAUAUAAAUGUAUUGUAAUUCAUCUUUUUUUUUUAAAUAUGUUUUUAUUUAUUUAUUUUUGCAGAAUGGAGACAACGCAACAGCAAGCACACGCAAACAGAGAGAAGCAGUCCUCCCAGAGAAAAAAGAAAACAGGAUGACAAGAAUGGGCAUACGAGUGACAUCCAGAAGAGAAAAGACUUUCUAAAAAGACGUAGACAGAAAACAAUGCGUGCCAUUGAGCAGAUCGAGAAACUUUGGGAAGGAACUAAGCAAGAGAGGACUGAGAUAGACUACAUGAGACAGAGGAUUCAGCAACAGCAAGAUGAGAUAGUCAGGAUGACCACUGAGAAAAGACAACUUGAGAGAACUAUUACUCACAUGAAAGCUGAGAUGGACCACAUCCGCGAAAGAAUGGAUCGUAAUAAAGAAGAGGUAAAUAGAGAGAGGGAGAGGAUUGAGCAAAUGAGAUCUGAUCUCCAAACUGAGCAAACCACCCUGGAGCUAAAGCGUGAUGAAAUCAUGAGAGAGAGACAGAACUUGGAGAUGAUCAGAUAUGAGACUCUGAGACAGAAGGAGGAGCUGGAGAGCAACCGUGAAAGCACAAAGUACGAGAUGGAACGAAUGGAACAAAUGAAAAGUGCCAUACAAGUUCAGAUCAACGAGAUAGAGAUGAAGAUCGGGGAAACACAGAAAGCAAAGUGUCAGAUGGAGCAGAUGAAAGCUGAAAUAGAGGAGGAGAAAAGCGACCUGGAGAGAAAGAAGUAUGACAUCAAGAGGCAAAGAGACCAAUUUGAGCAGAUUAAAGUUGACAUACAGCAAGUGAAGAUGGAAAUGGAGCAAAGAUGGCAUGAAACAGAGAAAGAGGAAGAGCGGGAGGAGCUGGAACGAAAGAGAGAAUUGGUGAAAAGAGAGACCGAACAGUGUGAGUUCCUCAGAAGUGAAAUCCUUAGGGUGAAGGAGGAAAUGGAGAACAGGUGGCAUGAAACAGAGAAAGAGGAAGCCGAACUCAGAGCGAAAACUCAGCAUGAGCUGGAAAGACUGGAAAAAAUAAGGGAUGAGAUCCACAGAUCGCAGAAAAACAUUGAGGAGAGCAGGAUGGAGCUCAUGCAGUGGAAGGACAGUCUUGAAAAAAUAAAGCUUCAGGCAGAAGACGACAAACUUGCCGCUAUCAAACAGAUGGAAGAGGCUAAAGCAAAGAGAGAGGAGUUGACAAAAAUGAUAGAACAGAUGGAGAAAGAGCGAGUAGAGAUAACUAAAAGCAGCGAAAAGGCUAAAGAAGAAGCAGAUGAAAUCAAAAGCAUGAGAAAUGAGCUACAAAAACAAAAGGCAGAAAUAGAGAACAGGAUUAGAGUUGCAAAACAAGAAAAGGAGGAGGCAAACCAUGCCAAACUUGCUGUCCAAGAGGCUGAGAUGCUCUUAAAAAAGCAAAUGGAAGAGUCAGAAAAGAGACGGUAUGAAACCAUAACAGAGGCGUUGGAGCAAAGAGAUGAAAUACACAAAAAAACAGAGGAGUUAGAACAAAUAAAUGAAGAGAUACAAAGAGCCAGACAUGAGCUAGAAAAGUUGAGGUAUUCUGAAAAAGAAAACCUGCAGAAAAUGCUGGAGGAUACACAGCAAGAGAAAGAGUUUGUUGAGGAACUGAAAACAGCUGCGUUGAAGGACAAGGAAGAUCAGGAAAAGCGUUUAGCUGAGAUGGACAAGGAGAGAGAGGAACUCAAACAGAUUAGAGUUCAGGUCCAGAACGAGAAGAAAGAUCUAGAAAAACGAAGGUAUGAAAUGAUGAGGUAUGAUGUAGAACAGAGUGCUCAAGUGCAGAGACAAAGAGAAGAACUUGAGAAGAUCAAGACUCAGCUAUUUCUGGACACAGAGAUCAUGAACAGAAGCAGAGAGUUAGCGCAACAAGAUAGAGAGAAAGCUGAACGCCUUAUGAUUGAGAUCCAGGAACAAAGAGAGGAAGUGAAUAAAAGGUUAGAGGAGACAAAACGACGAGAGGACACCUUGAGGAAGAUGAGAGAGGACAUGGAGCACGAGAGAGAAGAUCUGGAGAAGAUCCGUGUGGAAACGCUGAGAGGGAAAGACACAUAUGAAGAGGUCAAGGAUGAGAUUAACAGGGUGAGAGCGGAGAUAGAGAGGUUGUGGGAUGAGGCUGAAAAGGGAGAGCCUGAGGAAUGUGAAAGGAUGAACAGGGAGAAGGAGGAGAUGAUGAGGAAGAUGGAAGCUAUGAAGAAGGAGAUAGGUGAUAUUGAAGACAUGAAGAUGGAGUUAACAAAACAGAAGGAGGACAUCGACUUAAAGAUGGAGAAGGCAAGGCUGGAAAUGACUCAUCUUGAAAAGAUGAGAGCAGACCUCCAAAAACAGAAAGAAGAUAUUGAAAUCCAGAUGAUGGAAGCAAAAAGUGAGAGAUACCAGAUGGAACUGAUGAGGACUGAGAUCUUAAAACAAAAAGAGGAUGUUGAAAGGAAAAUGGAGCUAGCAAAAGCAGAGAUGGACAAAAUGCAGCUUGUCAAAGAGGAAAUACAAAGACAAAGAAAAGAGCUGGAGGAAAGGAUGCAGAAAACCAAACGAGAGAUUGAAGAAAUGGAGCUGAUGAAGAGAGAAAUGGAAGGGAAGAAGAAAGAACUUCAGCAAAGGAUGAAAUUGACCAUGAGGAAGAAGGACGAGAUGGAACGACUGAAGAUGGAGAUACAAAGAGCAAAAGAUGAGAUGGAACGGAAAAGAGUGGAGACAGAGAGGCAGAAGUAUGAAAUGGAGCAAGUUAAAGCUGAAAUCCAAAGAGCGAGAGAGGAGUUUGAACUUAGGAUGGAGGAGAGAGAUUUAGAAGAAGAGAAAGGACAGAUGAACCUCACAAUAAUCAGUCUUAUUCAGCAGAUUGAGGGGACGAGAGAAAUGGUGCGGAAAGCAAAAUUCCAGAUUGAAAGUCGAAUGGCAGGAAGUCAGAUGGAGACAACAGUCCAAGAGGAGAUGAAUGCUGAGAUGCACAGGCUCAUUUUGGAGAUUGAACACAUCCGGGAAAUGCUGCGAGGUCUUAAGGCUGAGGUAGAACACAACAAGGAAACGAUAAAGAGAGACAGGGAUGAGAUGAGGCUAUUGAAGAAUGAAGUUCAACGAAGGAGAAGAGAGAUUGAAUAUAGAGAAGAAAGGAUUAUGAGAGAACGAGAUGAACUAGAACUCGUGAGAAAUAUGAUGCAGCGGCAAAGACAAGAACUGAAGGAGAGGCUGGAGGAGACCAUUAAAGAGAAUGAUAUGAUGGAGCAGAUGAGAGAAGAUGUGAAAAAUGCUUUGGAGGACAUAGCACAGGCCAAAGAAGAGAUAAAGAGACAGAAAGAACUCACUGCUCUAGAAAAGACAGGCAAAGAAAAGGUUCAACCAGCCAUCAUUCCAACCGAGAGCCAGGAGUAUGCAAAAACAGAAGAAGCAGCUGCCAUUAAAGUGGAAGAUUUUGUGAGUGAUAUACAGAAAGAAAGACAAGAACUGGAACAAUAUAAAGAAAUAAUUUUAAAAGAGAAACAUGAACUAGAGAAAACAAAGGAGGAUGUACGAGCGGUAAAGAAUGAAGCUGAAGAGAGAAUGACAAAAUUACAAGAGAUGGAAAUUGAGAUGGAAAAGAAACGAGUGGGUCUACAAAACUGGGAAAGACUGCUGCAAUCAGAGAGAGAAGAAAACCGGAGAGGUUUAGAUAUAAUAUGGAAAGAGAAGGAGCAGCUAGAUCAAAGAAAACAAGAACUGGAGAGUAUGGAAGUAAAUCUACAGAGAGAGAAAUGUGAAUUAGAAAAGGCAAGAUUGAUGGAGAUUAAACAAGUUGAUGUACAAGUCCAAACUGAUGUGAUGGAGGAUGUAGGAAAAUAUCAGAUGAGCUUGACUAUGGAGGAGCUGGAUAAAGAGCGACAAGCUCUGGAGAAUUUUAAAGAAGACUUACUUGCACAAAAAAGUACAAUUGAGAGACAACUGGCAGAAAUAAAACUGAGCAAGGAUGAAUUAUCACUCAAAGAAGCCGCACUGCAAACUGCUACAAAAAACACAGCAGACAUAGAGUUACAAUUAGAGCUGCGAAAACAGGAGCUAGAACGAACAAAAGAUGAGGUGGAAAGGACAAAGCUAGAAAUACAGAAAGGAUGGGAUGACCUGCAGGCUGAGAUUACAGAAAGCAGAGAAAAAGAAUACAUGAUAAGAACAGAAUUAGAAAAUGCCAGAGAUGUUCUAAAUCACAUUCGACAGGAUAUAGAAAAACAAAAGCAAACCAUGGAGGCCGACCUAAAAGACACUUUUGCUAAAGAACUAGAAGACAUAGAAGCUCAGAGAAAAAGGAUAGAGGAUGAAAAGGGAAUGUUACAGAACAUGAAAUAUGAGCUGCAAAAAGAGUCUAGUGAUAUCGAAAGGUUAAAACAGGAUGUGCAGAAAGAAAGACAGAACAUGAAGAAAUGGGCAGAGCAGCUUAAACAAGAGAGGGAGGAACUAGAAAAGAAAAGGUGUGAUAUGCAACAGAUACAAGCAGAAAUAGCGAGAGAAAAGAACGAUCUAGAGAACCUGAGAGAGGAGAAUGAGCGGACACUGAAGGAGAUCAAAAAGGAGAGAGACACACUUGAGAAAAUAAAUGUACUCAUUUUACAGCAAAAAGAUGAUUUUGAGAAUGAGAAGGAGGAAAUAAAGCAGAGAGAAAAUGAACUGCAGCAAAUGCAGGCUGAUCUUAACAGACAACAAAAAGAAGUGCAGGAUAUUCAGAAUAUAGUUUUAAUGCAAAAAAGUCAACUUCAGAAAAGCCAUGAUGAAAUAGCCGAAAAGCUAAAACAGGCGGAAGCCAUCAGGCAGUUCACACAAAAUGAAAAAGGCAAUCUUGACAGAGAAAGGGCGGCUAUAAUGGAACAGAAGCAGCAGAUGGAGAGUAACUUGACAGAUACAUUAAACAGAGAACUAGAAACUGUGGAGCUUGUGAAAAAAGAGGUACUAAAUGAGAAGCGACUUAUUGAGGACUGCAGAAUAGUUUUACUGAGAGAUAUAGAAGAUCUGCAGCAGAAGAAAAUCAAUUUGGGUAGUCAGGCAGAGGAGAUAAAAUUACAAAGACAAAGUAUUGCAGAAGAGAAAAGCAAGUUGCAACAGACUGAAUCUGUGCUGCAACGAGUAGCUGAAGAUACUGAGAAGCUAAGAGAAGAUACACUAGCUGAAAGACAGAAGCUUAAAAACACUGCUGUGCAACUUCAGAAAGAGAGAGAUGCCAUUGUGAGCCUUUCAGAAGAGACAAAAAGAAAGAUAGAGGAACUGGAUAAAAUGAAAGCUGAUGUAGAAAAGCAGGAAAAUGCAUUUGAGAUAUUGAAGGGCAUGAAAGCUGAUCUGCAAAAAGAAGCCGGUGUCAUUGAAAAUGUAAGACAAGCUGUUCAAAAUGACAUACAAAAAGUAAAAGAUAUAGAAGCCAAAAUUCAGAAAGAAAGACAAUACACUGAUAGUCUAGUUGAAGAGAUUGAAAAGAGGUCCAAAGCUCUGGAUGAGAUGCACAUGGAGGUUGAAAAAGAAAAGCGAUAUGUUGAGUCUGAGAGAGAUGUGCUAGAACAGGAAAAGUCUAAGCUCAAAGAUCUCAAAGAUGAAUUUGCUCAGCAAAAAGAACAGAACAUUAUUAUACUGGCAGAGAUAGAGAAAGAAAGAGACAAUCUUGCCCAGAUGAGUGAAACCAUCUCAAAUCAAAGGUGCAUCGUUGAAAGUGAUAAAGAAAUUUUAAGACAGAGAGAAAAUGAACUGAAACAAAAAGAAGCAGAGAUUGAAAACAAACAAAAACAAAUAGAUGAGUUAAAGAGCAGUUUAAGAAUGGAAAAGAUGCAAGUUGAGCAGAUGGAAGCUGACCAAGAUCAACAAUGGACAGUUGCACAUGAAAAAAUAGAAUAUGUUAAGACUGCAAGAGAUAGAGACGCGACAGACCUGGAGAAAGAGAGACAGGAAAUGGAGAAUUUGAGAGAAGAACUGAGGGUGGCAUAUGAAAAUGUGGAGCUCCAAAAGAGAUAUUUAAUUGAGCAAAAAGAAGUAUUUGAAAGCCGGAUGAAAUCACUAGAAAUGGAUGAGGAAGACAUAGAGAAAAAUAAAGCCAAACUGCACAAAGAAUUUGAAAACUUGCAGUUUCAGAGGCAAUCGUUUGAGAAAGAGAUACAGCAGGUAAGAGCUGACCUUCAGAAAGAGGCUGACAAUACUGAGAGACUAAAGAAAGAGGUGGUAGCUGAAAAGCAGAGUAUAAAAGACAUGGCAGCUCAAAUUCAACAUGAGGGAAAUUACAGAAAAGAAGCUCUAGAGAGGAUGCGCCUUGAGCUAGAAAAACAAAAGCAAGACAUUGAGACUGAAAAAGAUGUAUUAGAAAACCAGAAGUUUGAAGUGGAGAAAAGCAAAAGAGACAUAGCGAGAGCAAAAGACGAUCUUGCUGAAAAGAGAAAAAUGAAUGAUAUUGAUCGGUUAGAGAUGGAGAAGCAGAGAAAUUCCCUUGAGCAAAUGAAGAUGAACAUUUCACAAGAGGAACAUGGUAUUAAAAUAGUGAAGGAAAGUUUGAGACACCAAGAAAAUGACCUGAAUAUACAAACAUCACAACUUCAUGCACAACAGAAAGAAAUAGAAGAGAUUCAGGAUGUUAUCAUGAAAGAAAAGAGUCAGCUUAAUGAAAGACAGGCUGAAAUGGAAAAGCAAAAGAGAGAAUUAGAGAGUGUGAUGGACAGACUUGAAAAAGAGAGGACUAAUGUAAUGGAAGAAAGACAAAGAGUGAAUGGCAGUGCAGUAGAACUGAAGAGGGAAAGUGAAACAGUGGAGCUGAUGAAGCAAGAAGUUCUCCGCGAAAAAGAAUCUAUUGAAAACAGCAGGCAAAUACUGAACAAAGAUCUGGAGGAUAUAAAAGAAAAUAGAACCAUCUUAGCUGAGGAGUUUGAGACCUUAAACUACCAGAAACAAUUGACUGGCAAAGAAAAGCAGGAAUUUGAUAAGAUGAAAAAUGAGUUCCAACAAGAAAAGGAAAUUAUUGCUAAACUAAGGCAAGACAUAGAAAAUGGCAGGCAGAAGGCUGAGGAAAUGGCGAUCAUCCUUCAAAAAGAGAAGGAAGAUAUAGAGAUUUCUUUUGCCAGAAUAAGAUCAGAGGAAGGAGAUCUAAGAAAACAAAAACAAACAACUGAAUCUGAUAGAGACACUCUUAAAAAGGACAAGUCUGACCUGGAGAAAACUAAAGCAGAGAUAGCCAGAGCCAAAGAAGAUCUUGAGAACCAAAUUGAACCACAUAAAAGACAAAAUGAGCUAACACUGGUAGAGAUACAGAAGGAGAAACACAUUCUUGAGCAGUUAAGGAUGAACAUAUCACAACAGAGAGAUGAUCUAGAAAAGGACAUUGAACAAACAAGAUACCAACAAACUGAGCUGCAAAGUCUAAAAAUGGAAAUUCAGAAAGAGCAAACAGAGAUAGAUGAGCAGAAGGCGAUGACAGAUAUAGCAAGAACGAAGGAGGAUCUUGAAACCCAGCUCAUUGAAGAAAGAGAAAAGAACAAGAUCACACUAGCAGAAAUACAGAAAGAAAAAGACAUGCUUCUUUUACUGAGAGAUAGUAUUUCAGAGCAACAGGACAACAUUGCAAAUGAGAAACAACAAAUGAGUAUGAGACAGACUGAACUUGAAGAACUCCAAGCUCUAAUUUAUAGGCAGCAAGAUGAAAUGGAAGACUCACGAAAAGCUCUCACAAUGGAAAAAGACAGACUUGAAAAGAAGAAAACUGAAAUAGAUCAAAAACAGAGAAAGGUAAAUGAAGUCAUGGCAUUUACAACAGGAGAAAAGGCUUAUAUUGAGAAAGAGAAGUCUGAAAUGCUAACACAGAAACACCAAAUGGAGACUGAACUGGAGCUCUUGAAGGCAGAACUGAAUAAUGACAUAAAUGAAAAAAGAGCAGCCCUAGACAAAGAGAUAAAGGAGCUUCAAUAUCAUAAAAAAGCUAUUAGAAAUGAGAAGGAUGACGUCGAACAGAUGAAGAUUGAGCUGCAAAGACAAACUGAAGAUAUGAGAAGGCUAAAAGAAGAAACACAAACUGAAAGACAGAGUUUGGAAAAGAUGGCUGAAAAACUUCAGAAGGAGAAAGAAGAUAUUGUUCAUCUUGCUGAAGAUACAAAGAGAAAGAACGAGAUUCUUGAUGAAAUGAAAGUAUUACAGGAGUCCACAUUAGAAAAUCUGCAAAAAGAGAUCAGGGAAAAACAGGACCUGAUGUCUGAGCUGAGAAAUAAGUCUGAAGAUGUUGAGCUUCAGAUGAAGCAGAUAUUGACUGAAAGGGAAAUGUUGGAAAAUGAUAGACAACUGUUAAAGAGAGACAUGGAAGAUCUGCAACAAAAAAUAAUUAAUGUAGACAGAGACUCAGAGAGUCUGAAACAUGAGAGAGAAGCUUUGGAGAAUGAGAAGGAAGUAAUAAAAAAGAUCAAAACUGACCUGCAAAGAGAGACAGAAGAGUUCGAGAAGAUCAAACUACAAACACAAGAUGAAAGACAAAAACUGGAGGAAAUGACAGCUCAACUCCAGAAAGAGAGAGAAGAAAUCAAUGAUCUUACUGAGAAGACCAAAAGAAGAGACAUGGUCUUGGAUGAAAUGAACACAGAAAUUGAAGUGAAAACUAAAGCCAUUCAAUCUGAUAGAGACAUGAUUGAAAAGGAAAAACAUGAAUUGGAGAAAACCAAACAUGAACUUGCUAAAAUCAAAGAAGAUCUUGAAAAACAAUUUGCUGAGCUUGCAGAAGAGAAAGAAAUCAUACAGGCAGAGAUACAGAAAGAGAGAGACAACCUAAAGGAGAUGAAUGAGACCAUCACAAGACAAAUACAUGAAAUUAAAAAUCAAGAGGAACAAAUAAGACAAAAACAACAUGAACUAGAACAACUGAAAACUGAAAUUCAGAAUCAGAAACAGGAACUAGACAAUGACAGAAAUAUUAUAAUAAAAGACAGAAGUCAGCUUGAUCUGAGACAGUCUGAGCUAGACAAACAACAGACAGAAGUGAGUGACAUUAUGGAAAAAAUGAGAAAUGAGAGAACUCAACUAGAUGAAGAAAAACAAAAGAUGGAAGAACAGAAACAGCAACUGAGGAAAGAAAGAGAUGAUGUAGACCAAAGUAGAAAAGAUCUGACUGAAGACCUAAAGAUCAUGACACUUCAGAAACAAGUGACUGAAGAUGAGAAGGAAGUAAUAAAAAAGAUCAAAACUGACCUGCAAAGAGAGACACAAGAGUUCGAGAAGAUCAAACUACAAACACAAGAUGAAAGACAAAAACUGGAGGAAAUGACAGCUCAACUCCAGAAAGAGAGGAAAGAAAUCAGUGAUCUCAUGGAGGAAAUUAAAAAGAAGGGAGAUAUUCUGGAUGAAAGCUAUACUGAAAUACAAAGGGAACAAGAAGCAAUGGAGAGAGGCAAAGACUUGAUUAGAAGGGAACGGUCUGACCUAGAGAAAACUAAAGCUGAGAUGUCUCAAACCAAGGAAGAGCUUGAAAAACAGAUUUCUCAACAAAAAACAAACAUUGAGAUCACACUGGCAGAGAUGCAUCAAGAGAGAAACAUGCUUGAACAGAUGACUGGGAAUAUAAGAAGAGAAAAAAUGGCACUUGAAGAUGAAAAGCAAGAGUUGCAAAUAGAAAAGGAAGAUCUUGAAAGAAUGCGGGCAGACAUCGAACGAAAACAAGAAAAUAUUGAUCACCUGAGAUUUGGCAUAACAGAAGAGAGUCUACUUGAGAAGUCAGAGGCUAAAAUGUUUCUUCAAAAGAGUGAGGUGGAUGUAGUCAAAUCUUUAACAGACAAAGAAAUGUCAGAUCCAGAUGGGAAAUGUGUCUUGAUGGAGCAGAUGCUGGAAAUGGACUUAAAAGAUGCAUUAGAAACAGAUGUUGAGAGCCAAAAGUCAGACUUACCUGAGGCUGAGGAUUUACCUCAUAAACAGGAGAUGAUGUUAGAGAAGACGUUUAUUGAAGAUGAAAAGGACAAACUGGAACAGAUGAGAGCUGAACUGCAAAGGGAAGCUGAACACAUUGAAAAGGAAAAGCAGGACAUGCACAAUGAAAGACAGAAGCUAGAAGAAAUGUCAGCUCAACUUCAGGAAGAGACAAGAAAUCUUGAAAGCCUUAAUGAGGAGAUUAAUGUUCAAAAAUGUAAUCAACAAAAGCAAGCAUCUGAGUUUGAAAUGGAGAAGACUGAUUUAGAGAAAAUAAAAACAGAAAUUGCUAAAGCCAACAAACUUCUUGCAGAACAGCAAGAAAGGAAUGAGAUGACAAUAAAAGAGAUGCGGACAGAGAGAGACGCUCUUGAAGAAAUGAGGGCGAACAUCUCAAAACAAGUGGAUACUAUUCAAAAAGCGAAUGAAAGCCUUUCUCGCAGAGAAAGUGAACUUGCUAAGCUGCAGGAAACCAUUUUACAACAACAGGAUGAAAUGGAUGAACUGAAAAACACAAUUAUGAUGGAAAUGAGUCAACUGGACCAGAGACAAACUGACGUUGAUCUAUUACAGCGAGAGGUUGAUGAUCUAAUGGAAUUCACAAAGACAGAAAUGACCAACGUAGAAAGAGAUAGAGUGGAAAUGAUGGCACAGAAGAGAAAUGUAGAGAGAGAGAUGGUCAGUCUAGAGGAAGAAAAGGAGACCUGUGAACAACUGAGACUAAAAUUACUGGAGGAAAAGGAUCAGGUUGAAAAAGACAGAGAGGCGUUGACCAAAAAUUUGGAUCUUAUGGAGAGGCAAAAAAUGGAUAUGGAGAAAGAAUUAAAGAAUCUAAAACUUGAGAAACACACCUUUGAAAAUGAGAAGGAGGAACUAGAGAGGAUGAAAAGCGACCUUCAAAGACAAGCUGAAGACUUGGAUAAACUAUCUGAGAAGACAAAGAAUGAAAGAUGGAGGGCAGAAGAGAUGGCAGCCAAAUUUAAAAAGCAAUUAGACGUCAGUGGUAUUCCAGCGAACUACCAACAGGCGGAAGAGCUCAUGGAUGAGACAGAGAAACAAAGAAAGGAUAUUCAGUCUGCCAAAGACUUGCUUCAAGAAGAAAGAUCUGAGCUGGAGAAAACCAAGGCAGAGAUAAACCAAGCCAUGGAAGAACUAGACAGACAAAGAACUGACUUACAGAGAGAUAAAGACAUUCUGAAGCAAAUGAGUACAGAUAACUUGAGACAAAUAGCUCAAAUUGAAGAUGAGAAGGAACAAUUACAACACAAAGAGAAUGAACUAGAACAAAUGAGAACAGAACUUCAAAAUAAACAAAAAGAAAUGGAUGACAUGAAAAGCAACAUAAUAAAAGAAAAGGAUGAUUUUGAGAAUCUGGAACAAAAGAGAGCCGAGUUGGCUAGAGACUUGGAAAACCUCCAAAAUAUGAAACAAGCUUUUAAAAAUGAACAAGAUGAGCUGGAAAAGAAGAGAGAGGAUAUUAAGAAGUUAAAGCUAGAAGUUCAGAAAGAAGGUCAGUGGACUGCAGAAGAGUUAGAAAAAGAGAGACAACAAUUUGUUAAGGAGAUCAAAAUGAAAAAUGACACCCUGGAUGAAAUACAAGCUGAGAUACAAAGACAAAAACAAGCCAUUGCUGUAGACAAAGCAAUUGUUACAAAGGAAAAGAUGGAUCUGGAAAAAACCAAGGAAGAUUUCAAAAGACAAUCCGAGGAGAGUGACAUCAAACGUGCAGACCUGCAGAAAAAGCGAGAUAGUCUUGAUCAGAUAAGUGUGGAGAUCUUAAAGCAAAUACAUGACCUGGAGAGAGAAAGAGGUGAACUGUUAGAGCAGCGUCAGCUGAUGGAGACACUAAAGAAAGACAUUGAAAAUGUGGAACAGCUGAGGAAAGAGCUUUUGGAUGAAAAGGAAUUGACUGAGAAAAGCAGAACGCAACUGAAACGAGACAUAGAUGAUAUGGAACAAAAUAAAUCAAAUCUACAUAAAGAAUUAGAGGAGAUAAAAGUUCAAAAACAGGAUAUUCAAGAUGAAAGAAUUCAACUAGAGCAAAUGAAAGCUAAGUUAGCAAAAGAAAGAAAAGCAAAUGAUGAAAUGUUGAGAGAGGCUACAAAAGAAAUGGAGAAAUAUGAGGAGAUCAAAUCAAAUAUUUUAAUCCAAAAAGAAGAGUUUGAGACUAAAAGACAAUCACAAGUAGAGGAACUCAUUGGUAUGAGAGCUGAAAUACUCAAACAGAAAGAUGAAUUAGAGGACAAGAUGCAAAAGACUAAACAUGAGAUGAAAGAAUUGAAGCUUCUUCAGGAUGAAACUGAUAGCAUGAGGAAAGAUCUUGAUCACAAGAUGAGACAGGCAGCGAGAAAGAGAGAUGAGCUGGAGAAAAUGAGAGCUGAUAUUGAAAGUGCAAAUGAGAAACUGGAAAUGGACAGAGUCAUGUUAAGUAUAGAGCGUGAGGACAUGGAGCGAAUAAAAGCUGAGAAACAACGAGCAGGAGAGGAACUACUAUCUCAUACGGAAGAAAGAGGUGGAGAUCUGGAAGAGAAAGAACAAAUAAACACCAAGAUACUGAGGCUUAUUCAAGAGGCUGAAAAGACUAGGGAAAUGGCCUGGAGAACAAAACAUGACCUGGAAAGAAGCAUGCAGAGAGAUGUUAAUGUUCAAGCGGAUUCAGAGGAAAGGCAAGAAAUGAGUGCUUACAUGCAGAGGCUGAUCCAGGAAAUUGAACAUGUCAGAGAGGUUCUCAGAAGAAUGAAAGAUGAAGUCAAGGCUGCUAGAAAUGAACGAUUUGAACUGGAGAACAUGAGGCUGGAAGUCGAAGCCAUGAAACAUAGCAUGAAGGAAACCUAUGAGCAACAGAACAAGGAGAUACAAAAAGAGAAGCAGCAAAUUGAGAGUACCAAAGACUUGUUGAGCAAAGAGCGAAGUGAUCUUGAGCAAAACAGAGCUGAUUUGGAGAGACAAAAACAAGAAAUGGCAUUGGACAAACAAAAACUUCAUGACGAAAAUGAACUUCUGAACAAAGAAAUCGUUGACAUGAAGCAGCAAUAUGAAAUUCUCAAAAACCUUCUAGAAGAAACAACUAGAGAAAACACAGUACAAACAGUUAAACAUUCCAGAAAAGAGAAAGAAAUGAGGAGAGAUUCAGAGGAAUUAAGGAAGAAAAUGGAAUCAUUAAGCAUGGAUGACCAGCAAGAAGAGAGUGAGAGUCAGACAGAUGAAAUUAACAGACAAAUAGACAAACUAACAGAGUUGAAGGCUGAGCUGGAUAAACAGCAGGUAGAACUUCAGAAAACUAAAGCAGGCUUAAAACAUCAGAUGGAUGAGCUAGAAAACAUGAGGUCUGAGAUAUUACAACAUGAAAAGGACACUAGAGAGGUGGAGCUGAUGGAUAUACAGAGACAGAGAGAAGUCCUAGAAACAAGGAUUCAGAAAAUGAUGCAUGAGAAGGGAGAACUGGAAGUCUUAAGGUCUGAAAUAUUCCUAGAAAAGAAAGAUCUGGACCAGAAGAUGAAACAAGUGAUAAGAAAGAGGGAUGAGGUGGAGAAAAUGAAGACUGAGAUAGCAAAGGAAAGAGAGGAGAUCAACAGAGAGCGGCAGGAGCUGGAAAUACUCAGAAAUGAUGUUCAAUGUGCAAGAGAGGAUUUUGAGCUAUUGGUGGAGAAAACUGUGAAUCUAGAAGAUGAGGAAAGCACCAAUGCUGACAUCCAAAGACUAAUUUUAGAGGUUGUAAAAAUCAGGGAAAUGGUGAGAAAUCUUAAAGUUGACAUGGAGAGCAGGAUGGAGGAAAGUAAGUUGGUGAGAGAUGAAAAGGAAAACUUCAAGUCUGAGAUCCAGAGGCUCAUUCAAGAUAUUGGACAAAUACGGGAAAAUCUUGGAAGCCUUAGAAAAGAGAUAGAAACCACCAGAAGAGAUAAGAAUGAAUUGGAGAAGAUGAGAGCAGAACUUGCAGAAAAGCAACAGGUGGAAGAGAACAUGAGAGAAAUGCUGCAGAAAGAAAGAGAAGAACUGGAGCAGUUGAAGGAUGAGAUAAACAGAGAAAAGGAGGAUGUGGAGACCAAAAGAGAGCUGGUUAAGGUAGAAAUAGCUAAAGAAAUAAUGGAAGAGUUUAAGGAUACAAGAAAGAACAAGGAAGAACUGCAAAUGGUCACUAAGGAACUCUUGAGAAACAAGCGUGAUCUGGAACAGCUCAACAGAGACAUACAAAACCAAUGGCAAACCAUGGAAGACAUGAAAACCCUGCAUGAAAAGAAAAAGGCUGAACUGGAAGGCAUUACUUCUGAAGUAAAGAGGGGAGAGCGGAUACUGGAGAAGCAGAAACAUGAGUUGGAAGAGAAAAGUUGGAUUGUUGAAGAAAUGGAGAAAAAGAAAGAUACACUUGAAAAGAUCAACAUGGAAAUACUGAGGAAGCAAGAAGAUAUAGAAAAAGAAAUGGACAAUUUAAGGCAAGAGAAGCAAGAGCUGGAGCUCUCUAGAAGUGAACUACAGAGACAGAGAGUUGAUGUUGAAUCUUCAAAACAUGCUUUGAUCAUGGAGAAGGAUCGGUUCAAAGAUGAACAAGCUGAAAUCAAUCAACAAAGGCAUGAAGUGAGUGCUGCCAUGAAGGCUUACGAUGUGGAACUGAAAAAUCUAGAAAAGACGAGGAAUGAACUAGAAAACGAGAGGGCUAAACUUGAUGAAAAACUCCAUGAUGCUACAAAAAUGGAGGAGAAACUACAGGAGAUGAAGAGUGAACUAAACAAAGAAAAAGAGCAAGUGGAAGAAAUGAAGCAGAUGGUCAGCACAGAGAGACAUUUGAUUGAACAAGAGAAUGCUGAGCUUCAGAAGAAGUCAGAGAUCACUGACAGACUCAUUCAGGAAGCAAACAACGAGAGGGACAGAUUAACAGACCUCAGUUUAAAACUUCAAACACAAAGAGAAGAUAUAGAGAAUAUCAUCACCGAAAUAGAGACCAAGAAGAAAGAUCUCAGUAUAAUGAGUGCAAAACUUCAAGAUGAUAAGAUACAACUGAAAAACGACAGAGAUGUUUAUGAAAGGGAAAUGACAUAUCUGCAGCUUAAGAGGGAAGUGUUAGUGAGAGAAACAGAGGACCUGGAAAGAAAAGCCUUACAGCAGAAAGAACAAGAUGAGAUGGCGAAACAAGAGAUUCAAAAUCACAAAGAGGCUCUAGAGCAAAUGGAGGUGGAUAUUCUGAAGGAAAGAGAUGAUGUUGACAAAGAGAAGAAAACUGUACAUUCAGAAAAACAGAAACUGGAUACACUUCGAGAAGAACUGCAAAGAAAGGAAAGUGAGCUUGAAAACAAAGUAAAAACUUUCAUGGAAGAGCAGCAGCAGCUAAAACAGAUUCAAGAUGAAAUGUAUAAAAUCAAGAAGGAGAUUCAAAGUAAUUUGGAAAGAAAGGAGGCCGAAAUUCAAGAGGAGAGACAGCGAUUAAUGGAAAUGGAUGAAACAAUUACAAGAGAAUGCAAUGAAUACAGAAAGCUGACUGAAGAAGUACAGAAAGAAAAAGAGCAGCUUGAAAUCAGCAAAAAGUUGAUGGAUCAAGAGAAGGCUGAACUUGAAAGCAUGAAAAAUGAUCUGGAGAAGCAAUUACAAAAUCUAAGACAUGAGAAACUGAAUGUACAAGAUGAGAAGAAUGCACUAGAACAAAUAAGAGCAGAAUCCAAAGAGAUUCAAAAUGUUAUCAAGAAGGAAAGAAAGGAUCAAGAGAAAUGCUGGCUGGAAAUUGAGGGUGAAAAGCAAAGAGUGGAGGAAGAAAUCAGACAAUUAGAGAGACAGAGGGAAGAAACUAACAAACUUCACAGUGAGUUGCAAAUAAUUAGAGAUGACAUUAAAAGUAAGAAAGAAAAUAAUGAUAAAGAAAUGGAAGAAUUAUUGCAAAUGAGGGUUGACCUGGAGAGAACAAAAGUAGAAAUCGAAAAGGAUAAUCAACGACUUCAAGAUGAUAAAUUUAAUCUUGAAAAGACAAAAGCUGAGAUAAAGAUACAAACAGAUAAAAUGAUAAUAAUAGACACCAACCUAAAGGAGAAAGAAAGAGAAAUUAAAGUUCUACUAGAUAAAGACAGAGAAGAAAUUAAAUGUUUGUCUGAGGAGACUGAAAUGAAAAUGAGGGAUCUUGAUAAGAGGAUAAAGGAGAUGGAGAGACAAAAGCAAGAAAUUGAGAAAACAAAAGUGAUGCUUGAAAAGGAAAAGACAGAAAUUGACAAAGAAAAGACAGAUAUUGACAACGAAAAGAAAGACUUGGAAAAACAAAUGAUGGGCCAGAUUGAGCAGAUACAAAAGGACAGACUGGCCCUUGAGGAGAUGAAGGAAGAACUUCUUCGUGAAAAACAAGAAACAGAGGAAGAGAGGGAUAACUUGAUGACGUUAAGAAACAAACUAGAAGCUUUAAGAGCAGAGAUAAAGAACAAGCAAAAUGAAAAUGAAAUUUUGAAGAACAAACUUAUUAUGGAAAAAUCAAGCAUUGAGGAACGGCAAGUCGAGGUACUCAACCAGCAGCGACAGAAUGAUCAAACCAGUGAGGAAAACAAAAAAGAGAGAGAAGAUCUGGAAAAACAGAGAUUUGAAACUGAACAGCAGAAACAGAUAUUGCAGCUUAACAUCAUAAAAAUGAAUGAAGAGAAGCAAAUACUUCAGAAGGCCAAAGAAGAAAUGGAAAACACAAAAUACAUGACCAACAAAGAAAGAGACAAGGUUGAACAAAUGCAAGCUGAAAUACACCAUCAGAUUCAGUCAAUUAAACUACAAAAGCAACUCAUGCAAGACAAGCAGAAUGCUCUUGAUGAAAAAGAGCUAAACAUACAGAGGAAGGAAAGGGAAGUAGAGAAGAGAAAUAUAGAAUUAGAUGGAAUUGCUGCUCAGCUUCACACUGAACAGGAACAUUUAGAUAAAGUUCAUGAGGAAACCAAUACGAGACAACAUGCCCUUGAAGAGAUGCAGGUUGAUAUAGAACUGCAAAAACAAGAAAUCAAUAAGGACUUUGAGUUGCUUAAGAAGAUACGGCAUGAAAUAGACAAUGAAAAUAUAGAAAUGAAGCGGAAAAAAGAUGAUCUGCAGAUCUGGACUACACAACAGAAAGAUAAGGUUCAAGUCCAGUUAGAAGAGCUAGAGAAAGAAAGAGAAAAACUGGAAAAAAUUAAGAUAGAGCUUCUUACUGAGAGAGAACAAACUGAAAAAGAGAAAGCUGAUAUAAAUAUAGUAAAUGAUGAAAUAGAAUCAAUGAGACAAAGAGUGAUAAUUCAGAAGACUGAGCUGGAGCAGAGAGAGAAAUAUAUUACUGAGCAGCAGCAAAGACUGGAUCAAAGUGUAAGAGAGAUAGCGGAAGAAAGAAGGGAAAUGGAUAAGUUGAGGACUGAACUAGAAGCUCAGAGACAAAGAAUGCAAGAGGACAUGAAGACUAUUGCAAAGCAGGAAGAAGAACUUUCACAACUGAGAGAUGAAAUACAAAGAGAAAAAGAAGACAUUGGUGAAAACAGGAACAUGAUUAACAAGUUAACGAAAGAUCUGGAAAUCACGAAAGCCAAGCUGGUGGAACAACAAGAAGUGAUCCAAACUGAAGCAGAAAAACUCCAAAAGGAAAGAAAACUGGUUGACCAGACAAAAUCUGAGAUGCAGAAUGAUGCUGAAAAUCUGAAAAACGUCUUAGAAGAGAUCAAAAGAGAGCAAGAAAAUAUGGAGAUAAGGGAGUCCCACCUUAAACAAAUGAUGGAUCAAUGUGCCAAUACCAUGGAAGAAAAUAAGAGGAAGAAAAGUGAACUAGAAAAGACUAUUGAUGACAUAGAAGAGCAAAAUCAACUGAUUAAGACUGAGAAAGACCAUCUGGAAAAAGAGAGAAAUAACAUUGAAAAGGAAAAAGAAGAAUUGCAAAGACGAGCUGAUGACCUGGAGAUGAACAUGACAGAACAAAAAGAAAAAGAAGAGAUGAGUAAAAGAUCAAUGCAUGAUGAGAAAAAGCUUCUUGAGGAAAAGGCUGGUGAAAUCUUGAGACAGAGAAAUGAAAUAGAGAAAGAAAAAGAGGACAUUAUGAAGAAGUGGAAUGAGCUGGAUGUUCUCCGGAAGACAUUAGAAAAACAAAGAGACGGAAUGGAAGAAAUCAAAUAUGAGUUACAGACUGAAAAGGCUGAAAUUAAUCAACAGCAGCAAAGCCUGGAGGAGAGUAUAAGAGCUGUGAAUGAGGAGAGAAGAGAUCUGGAGAAUAUGAGGAAUGAAUCUGAAGAAUAUAGACAACAAAUGGGAGUAAAACUAAAGAUGGAGAGAGAGGAACUUGAUCAGAUGAAGAGUGAUCUGGAAAGACAGAAAACUGAAAUAAAUCAUGAGCAGAAGAAAAUAUAUGAUGACAGAAAUAUUAUUGAACAGGGAAGAAAUGACCUGGAGAAAAUGAGGUCUGAAAUAUUGUUACAAAGAAAGCAAAUAGAAGAAGAGAGAUCAAACCUUGACAACAAAAUAAAACAGACUGAUCUAGAAAAAUGUGACAUUGAGAAGAGCAAAGAAAUUGUACAGAAGAUACUAGAUGAGGUAGAAGAACAGAGAAAUUAUAUUAAACUCCAUGAAGAAAAACAUGAACUUGAGAGACAAAAGAUCAAUGAUGAAAAAGAUCUUCAGGCUCAAAUAAAGACUAAACUGCAAAAAGAGAGUGAAGACAUCAGAUGCAUGGAAGAGGUAAUAAAGAAAGAGAGAGAAACGCUGAAAGAAAUGGAAGCUCUUUUACAAAAGGAAAAGGAAGAACUUGAUAGUGUCACUGAAGAAACGACUAGACGAAAAGAAAAUCUGGAAAUGAUGAGCACAAAUAUAAAUGAACAAAACCAAGAGCUGAGAAAAUACAGAGAGGUUCUAGAGCAAGAGAAAGAUGAAAUACACAAUAAAUGGAUACAGUUACAGCAGAGAAUUGAUGAAUUUGAAACUCAAGUUAGACAACAGAAGGAAAAUGAUUUAAUAAAACAGGAGGAGAUGGAAGAAGAAAGAAAAAGUCUAAAACUGACCAAAGUCAAGAUCCUGGAGUUGAAGACUAAAGCUGAGCAGGAACAACAAGACAUAAGCCUAAAAAUACAAGAGUUGAACACACUGCAAGAACAUAUAAUGAAAGAAAAAGUGAAAGAAGAAGAAAUGAGAGUAAAAGCAAAGAUAGAGAGAGAACAACUCGAUCAGAUAAUAAGGGAACUGGAACGAGAGAAAACUGAAAUGGACAAUGAUAAGAAGAUGAUUGAACAGGAAAGAAAAGACCUGCAAAAGAUAAGGUCUGACAUCAUGACAGAAAGAAAGCAAAUGGAAGACAUGAGAGAAGCAAUCAAACUAGAGAGAUCAGCACUUGUCCAGAAAAUACAAGAUAUUGAUCUAGAAAAGGAUGAAAUUGGAAAGAACAAAGAAAUAGUUCAGAAAUUAAUGGAUAAAGUAGAAGAGCAGAGAAAUUAUAUGAAACUCCAGAAAGAAGAACUUGACCUCGAAAGACAAAAGAUCACUGAUGAAAAAUUAAUUCUAGCUCAAAGUAUGACAGAGCUGCAAAAACAAACUGAACAAAACAAAUACAUGGAGGAGGGAAUAAAGAAGGAGAGAGAAACACUGAAGGAAAUGGAAGCUCGCCUACAAAAGGAAAAGGAAGACAUUGAGAGUGUCACUGAAGAAACAAAGAGACAGAAAGAGGAUCUGGAUAAACAAAAACAAGAGAUGAAGAACAGCAGAGACCUUCUAGAACAAGAAAGAGAAGAAAUAAAGCAUAAAUGGACAGAGUUACAACAGAGAAUUGAUGAAUUUGAUACUCAAGCCAGGCAACAGAAGGAACAAGAUUUCAUGAAACAGAAUGAGAUGGAAGAAGAAAGAAAAGGUCUAGAACAGACCAAAGUCAAGAUCCUGGAGCUGAAGACUAAAGCUGAGCAGGAACAACAAGACAUAAGCCAACAAUUACAAGAGUUGAACACACUGCAAGAACAUAUUAUGAAAGAAAAAGUGAAAGAAGAAGAAAUGAGAGUAAAAGCAAAGAUAGAGAGAGAACAACUUGAUCAGAUAAUAAGGGAACUGGAACGAGAGAAAACUGAAAUGGACAAUGAUAAGAAGAUGUUUGAACAGGAAAGAAAAGACCUCCAAAAGAUAAGGUCUGACAUCAUGACAGAAAGAAAGCAAAUGGAAGAAAUGAGAGUAAAAGCAAAGAUAGAGAGAGAACAACUUGAUCAGAUAAUAAGGGAACUGGAACGAGAGAAAACUGAAAUGGACAAUGAUAAGAAGAUGUUUGAACAGGAAAGAAAAGACCUCCAAAAGAUAAGGUCUGACAUCAUGACAGAAAGAAAGCAAAUGGAAGAAAUGAGAGUAAAAGCAAAGAUGGAGAGAGAGGAACUUGAUCAACUGAUGGCCAAGAUAUUGAUAGAACAAAAAGAAACUGAUAGGAGCAAGGAUAUGAUAGACCAUCUAAAGAAGGAAAUGGAGCAAACAAAAGCCGAACUCAAUGCUCAAGAAGAGCAAAUCAAACUGGAAUUGCAAAUAGUGCAAGAUGAGAGGCAAGAUCUGGAACAGUCCAAGGCUGAAAUCAAGAGACAGACUGAUAAAACAGAGAUCAUGAAAGAGCAGACACAACAGUUAGAAAAAGAGAAAGAUGUGUCUGAAACAUUAAAAGAAGAACAUCUAUCUGGACAGCUUCUUCAACAGAAGAGAGAAGAAAUGGCCUCUCAAGGAAAACAGAUACAGAUAGAUGAAGCCAACAGACUCUUGUCCGAGAUUCAAAGGGAAAGGGAAGCACUUGAAAGAAACAAAAAAAUCCUUGAACAUCAGAGAGAGGCACUGGACGAGAUGAAGAGAAAACAACCAACACAGAGGCUGGAAUUAAUUUUGGUUAGUUCUGCUACACAAACAUCUGAUCUAGACAACAUUCCUGUAGGUAACAUUUCAGCCCCUCAGGAACAGAUUGUUGAGGAACACACAGGCAUUCAUAAGGAAUAUACAACUUUCAUGACAAAAGGGAUGGAAGACGAAUUAGAGAUGAUGAGAGAUCAGGAGGACACAGAGCUCAAAAUGAGAAGUGAAGAAACCAAAAUGGACUCGAGCCAAGAAGACACUGCACUGGCAAAAGAAUAUAAAGAUAUACCUGAUCCAUCCAUGACAGUAAAGUUGGAGUUCAAUAAAGAUGAAGUCGAUGGCCUUACUGAAAUGUUGAUGACGGAGAAAAGGGAACUAGAAAAGACAAGACUUGUUUUACAGAGAGACCAGAAAGAGAUUGAGACAAUGAGACAACACACUGACAGAGAGAGGAAGAAGCUGGAGAAACAAUAUGAAGAGAUGGAGUUAUGCAGACAGAAUAUGGAAAAUGAAAGAUCUGAGUUAGAAAUGACUCAAGAUCAAAUUAAGAUGGACAUGGAAAAAAUUCUAAUGGAGAUCAAGAGCAAACAGGAGAAAAUAGAAAACAUGGAAUUUCAACUACAAAAAAAGAAGAGAGAAAUGGAAACCAUCUCUGCUGAGAUGAAACAGAGACAAGAGGAGUUGGACUUCAUAAAUACAGAGCUAAAACGAAAGAGACAAGAGAUGGUGGACACCAAAGAAAUGGAGGAACACGAGUUAACUGAAAUACUUCCAGAGAGAGAGGAGUAUAUAAAAAGACACCUGGAGGAAAUACAGAACCAAAAGGAAGCAUUAAGAAAGGAGAGGGAUGAAGUUGAAAAAAUACUCACUGGGCUGCAGAAGGAGCAAAUGGAAAUGGAGAUGCGUCAGGCAAUGCUGAACUCAGAAAGAAAUGAACUGAAUAGAAUGAGAAUCGAUCUGGAGAAUCCCAGAGAGGAGGCAUAGUCGGGCCAACUUCACGGAGAUUGCGGCUACUGCACUGGAUCAGACGGUGCUGCAGUUGCUGCUGUCCCAGAGACACUGUGGAGGAAACUGAGGACAUUUUAUAAACACAGGUCUUGUUCAUUAAGAAGAGAAGCCUUUCCUAAACAAAUACAAUCCAUGCAUUAUCAGUAUUUUUAUGUAUAUAUUUAUAAGUAGCAUUAGGUGGGAGAAAACCACCCNAAAAAAAAAAAAAAAAAAAAAAAAAACAUGGAAUACUGGAUAACAUACCUAUUUAGUAAAAUAAUUACAGAUUAUUUGCAUAGUACCAAAUGUUUAAUGUUUAUCACAGUUUAUAUAGUCCAAUAAAUCAGUUUUGCAUUUUUAAAUCA
ensembl:lncRNA